CACCUAUCUGCGGGAAAUGGCGACGAAGUGAUGUUUAAUUGGCGAAGAUGAGAGAACUGCUUUCGACAGUGUCCACGAACCGAAUUCAGUUCAGUUAGUAGUCGCGAGAGUGUACGAGUGGAUUAGUAACAUUGUUGGAAAGGUUUUACGUUGUGCGAAGUUGUGGUCUCAUCGGAACCUGCUGCUGUUGUCUCUCCCCGCAUGGUCUUUUUUAUGCCUUCUGGAUUCGCUGAAACAGCCAAAGUCGGAAUUAAUCCAGAAUACAUCAGUUCGCCACUCGGAAUUUAUUUUGUGCUGUAUGGUGUGGAAGCUGAACAAGAAGGGUACCAGAUCUGAAGUGCAAUUGAGUGUGGAUAUAGCAAGUGAAAAAGUUUGUGUGCCUGCUUUCCCAGUCCGGGUGAAGUGAUUGAAAAUAAUGGCGAAUGUAAGUGGUGCUACGCUGAAAAGUGCACUUUUUCUGCUGAUUUUGCUGUCCGAUUGUCGUGUGAACUAUGCGGAAGAUCCUCCGAAAAAGUCCUCUGGUGAAUCCCAAACAACAGAUACGGUGAAGAUAUUUGCACACAAACCUUCAGUCAGCGAGGACAAAACGAGCGUCGCAAAGCAGAAACUGCUAAAUGAGAAUCUUACCGGCAAAAAAGCGCCGGCCAUGAACAGCACUACCGUCUACACCGAUCAGUUGCUUGGAUACAAUGGGACAGGUCAGCGCAAAGACUACUCUAUAGUGUCCAUUAAACCAGGUGCGGAACCAACCACUGUGUCGACACCCUCUGGCGGUAGUGUAAUUAAUGUGUCCGUUGAAGCUCGGGGGGGACUUGGCGUGGCCCGAGUGGGAGAUGGAAGUACAACAACCGUCGACCCACUAAGCGACGCCAUCAAUAUCGAUACUGUGGAGCGAAGCGAAGCGGAUCUCAAUACCACACUACAGAAUCACAAUAUCAUCUACCAGCAGGAAGAUUAUCACACGUACUACAACAGCGUCUGGACGACCGAUAAGAGCGCCAGUGAGGCAUACUGGAAGCGAUUGGACAAUAUGAACGUUAGCAGUUUACUUUCCAACUCGCACAGGAGAGCAACAACCGUUUUACUUUCGUUUGAUUUUCCUUACUACGGGUACCCAAUUCGAAACAUUACAAUCGCUACCGGAGGAUUCCUGUACACCGGCGAUUAUGUCCACUCGUGGCUUGCAUCGACGCAGUACAUCGCUCCACUGAUGGCUAACUUCGACACAAGUUUAUCGAAUAAUUCCUUUGUCAAGUUCCGCGAUGAUGGCGAAACCUUCACAGUGGUUUGGGAAAACGUCUCCCUUCAGGACAGACCGGAAAAUGGCUCGUUCACGUUCAGUGCCACCCUUAACAAAUCCGGGGACAUCGUGUUCGCCUAUCAAAUUAUCCCGAUUGACAUCCAGCAAAUCUAUGACGAUAAACAUCCGGUCAAGGUGGGCCUGUCGGAUGCCUACAUUAUCGAUAAAACUAUUUUCCGCACAAAGCAAAAAACCAUCUACGAGUAUCAUAGGGUUAACUUCGGUCGUUCGAAAGUACAGAACAAUACGUUGAUAACACUGUUCGCCCAGCCUACCUGUUUUAGCUUCAAGGAUUGCCAAUCUUGUAUGACCCACGAAGGAGCUGAGUUUAAGUGCAUAUGGUGCCCUACCUUAAACCGAUGUUCCACCGGUGUUGACCGCAAACGGCAAGAUUGGAUUCAAAAAGGCUGUGACAAGACCCAGAUAAUGGAUAUCUCAGUGUGUCCCGCACUUGGCCAGAAAGGUAAUAACUAUGGCGAACCGGUCGAAAUUAGUACCGAAGGCAAUGAAGCAAAUGGUACUUACCGACAUGAAACUGAAAUUCAGUUAUCAAAGAACGUAAAUAGCAAAACGGGACCUGCAGGCUCUGGCAGCAGUGGAGACGACAGUGUGAACAAAGUUCCUGCCUUCCACGCUGCCAUGGAGCAAGAAUCUUCAUCCAGCAGCAGCUUGCUAGUGUCGAUGAUGGUCAUCUUGGGCAUUUUGCUGGGCUGCGGAUGCUGGGUGCUGUAUGCGUACCGGAAUCCCCACACCAAGAGCGGCCAGUUGCUUAUCAGAGUGAGUAUUGAAAUGUCGAGCCUUCCCUAGUGUUUCCUGAAUCCUAACGAAACGUUCCAUUUCUUCUACGCGACGCGGCUUUGAAUCAAAGAUGCAAAAGUACCGUCCAAACAAAUGGUCUUGGCGGCGAGGCGAAGCACGCUAUACGGCCGCAACGAUUCACAUGUGAGAGCAGCACAUUCAGCAUCAUCCCCAGCACCCCGAGUACCAUCGGCCAAUGCUGCAUCUGGUUGGUCACGAGGAGGAACGCCUGUUGAGCUAUCUGUACCAGUUGAAUGACGAAGGCAUGGCUGGUGGUGAUCCAACGGGUUCCAUCUCAUGCGGACUAGAGGUUGCUGACUAUACGUUUACAACGGAACUGGGCGACUGAACACCACGAUAAGGAGAUCAAUAGCGAGAAGUGUGUACGAGAUAGUUAAAGUGUGAAAGAGACAGAAAUUUGUGUGCAAUAGUGAGCGCGAGCUUCUUUGUUAUGUUUCUUUUUAAUUCUACUCAGAAAGCAUACUUAAUCCCCUCGAGUAACGCAACGUGCGACGGCUUGUGGAAUCGAGGGGUACGUCCAGGGAUGAGCCCGAACCUGUUUUCCUUAAACAUCACAGAUUAGUUUUUUCCGUUUUUUAUCGUUUUUGAAAAAAAAAAGUUUUUCCUUUAACAAUUAUAGUGAUAUUUACACCCUUAAUUUAGCAAAAAAUCUGUCCAGUUUUAUUGAUAAGGUAGAAUUGUAAAUGUUUUCUUUUUUUUUCAUUUAGUUCUAUUUCUGCUGUUUUUAUAUGGAUGAAAAUGUGUUUUAUGAUUUUUAACGUUUACUGUUCUUACUUAACAGCCACCAAACUAGUUUUCUACUGUAUUUAACUAUCGUAUACUGUCGCCUGUUAGCACGUAUGGUAAAAAGCUUAUGAAUAAAGUACACGCAAGGAAACGCAGAAAACAGAGGUAUUUCGCACUUGUGUUGAAAACAAAAAAGAAAAAUCGAACAUAACUAAAAGAUGUGAUAACCGGUUCUUUCUAGAGACGUUUGAAAAAAAAAUGUAAGCCUCGGUUUCGGCACUAACGUAUCACCAGAUUCCGAAUUACAUCAGUUCGCUGAACAAAUAAUUCUUUGCCACUAGGAACAACACAAACGUACACUUUUAUAUUUAUUUUCCUGUUAAUUAAAGACAACGACUUUCUUUGCCGAACUUGUUUCAUCGAACCGAAGGUAAAGCUAAAAACGGAGAAUCGAUAUCAACACUGUUCUACACUAGACGAUAAGACUAUGUGCAAAUGAAGAUAAAUAUAGUUAUGGUAAAUAGUGGUAACGUAACAGUUUCCUCGAAAAAAAAACAAGCUUUUAAAGGUGCGUUAUUUCUUCGAAAGUGUGCUCUGUCAUUCCAAAUGAGUUGAAGACAAUAUGGAGUGUGAACAUUUUUAUGUACCUAUAUUCUUUGUUCUGAUAUAAACAGAAAGGAGUUGAAUUGCUGCUUCAGGGGGUUUACGAAGUUUCACAUACAGAUUAGCAGGCUGAGUUUUUUUUCAACUUGGCGCAUGCGAAGUCGAAAAAGGAUACAUUCGCAGCGAUUGCUGCGAUGAAAAUAAGAUGAUGUCAUUCUAGAUAUUUUUCUUGACUUGUAGAAGUUAGAGGUUGACAGUUUUAAAAAUCGUCGUUUACGAAAAAUGUUGACUAGGUCUUAAAUAUUUAAAGCAACCGUAAAAAUUGAGCGGAAGUGUUUGCCAGAUCCUGACAGAAAACAGUAUUUGCUUGUGCUGCUAAUGAAUAGUUGUGAUAUGAAUAAGGAAACACAAGGUAAAUAAUAAAUGUCUGUGGCAGUCGAAAAGAAUUAGAUAAUUUAUCGGUCGUCAAUAGUAGCAAACGUUCAGCUAACAUCCUUUUUACCCUUUUUACAUAUUGCUCCUUUCUGUUGAAAUGAUACCAAUCGUAUGCCAAUUUUUUAUGUAACAUGAAUAUUAGCUAUGAAAAGUUUAGCAACGAAGGGUUUGAAAGAUUCUUCACACUCACCACUUUGUAGAUCAAUUUUGACAUUAAUUUUGACUGAAAAAUUGUUGAUCUUAACAAGAUGGUAUCGAUUUGAGAUCGACUCCCGGGAGAGACUGUCGCUGUCAGAGCGUUAAGGUCCACACACAAUGGAUACGUUGCGGCUGCGUGUGCGACAAUUUGACAGUUAGCACACACAUUUUCUGUCAAAUCAACGUUAUCGCAACGCAAACGUAUCCAUUGUGCAUGGGCCUUCAGCCUCGCAGUUGUGUCCCGUGCACCAGCGGUUGUCAACCUGGGGUACGCGAAAGCCUGCAGGGGGUACCCGAAAGAAAAAUCAGUAGCAGCAAUCAAACCAUAGUUAAAUUUGAACCUUGAACUCGACUACCACAACAUGAUCUACCACUGCUCUCUCCCACUCUGUGAGAACAUGUGAACAUGUGUGUAUAAUUGAAUUGGAAAAUAUUGCGCGGACAAAAAAGGUUGAGAAGUCCGUGUAUAAUAAACAGAAGGUCGAGUUUCGAAUCGAAAUGUAGCACCAAAGCUUUGCUUUUUGAUCUUGACAAGUCGAGCAACUCGACUCGUCUUCAGUCACUCCAGUCAGUCGAGUAAAGUGACUUUCGACUCGUCUUACGUAACAUGGUCCUAAGUCUUCAAAUAUCAAUCAUUCACUUAUGCCUUUGCCACGUUCGAAAAACCAAGCGCACCAAACCGGAAUCGGAACAUCCUUCGAGGCAAUUGUUACUAGACCAUGGCACUCGAAAUAGUAUGUAGUAGUAACAUGUGCAACAUAGUACUCAACAAGAGCUGCAAUAUAGAUCGCUUAGCUUAAGGUGGCACCCUCAGAGAGAAAAAAAGAAAAUCAUCCCUUGAAAAUUAAACAAUCCAUUGUUGCUUGCAAUAAAAUAUCGAUUCCAAGAAUUAGAGGAGCACAUAGCACUUGUCUGCAAAACCAAAAUGACUGCACGCUAAAAAGCUAGCGUACAGAUAUUAACAUUAAUAUAGCUGCUUUAAAGCGUAAGUUUUGAAUCAUCAGGAUAAUCGAUUCUAAAAUUGCAGAAUUUGCAGGGAUUGUACGCAUUUUAGCUGUAAAAAGUAAAGUUUGGCAUUAACCUGGCACUUCUUCAUAGCUCAGUAGAAUCUUCUAUAAAUCCCUUAAUUCAGCACAAGUGCGUCGAACUAAUCUCGCAUGAUUUACUUAUUCGAAUUGGCAAAGUUUUCUACUACAACUUGCAACCAUGGCAUCCUUCCAAACGAGAGGAAAGGCACAAAGUAGACGAUCGAUAUGUUUAGUUCACUUAAAUCUUUUUUAUAUACAUUACAGUGCCUUACGAAACGAUGGCAAUGGAAACAGUGUUUUUCCGUCGUUUUCUCCAUCGAAAGCAUUUCGUUUUUGAUUCCAAAUUGUGCACAACGAUUGUGUAGACCGUAUCGUUAAUUUUGUUUGCUGGCACACAUUGAAACGUUCAUUACUAGAGUUUGGAAUCCCGUUUUUCUAGUGUACCUUGUCUCGUGCAUCUUAAGGAAUUGAUUUCUUCAAAAAAUUCUAACCAACGCUGCAAACUUUUUGGUCGAAAAUAAGACACGUUUUUAAAAAAAAUUGUUGAUUGGGCUUGCCCAUUUUACCAUAUACAACUGUAAACAAAAUCAACGAUCCGAGUCUAAAAGCGUUUCCAAAAGAAAACCUUGGUAUAAAAAAUGUUUAAAUGGUUUGCGUAAAAGCUUAAAGAUAUACUAGAUAAAUAAUGAAUGUCUUUAGAUGUGUCCACAGAGAUAAAUUUUGGCUAAUGACACGAAAAUAAAACUGGAAGAAAAAGUGAAAAACAUGAAGAAA